UAGCUCACUGGUCAAGCGUCUUUGGGCCGACAAUCCAACGGGGCUUAAGCACGAGACCGAAGCCGUCGACUCAACAGUUCUGCGGAAUUGUUGAUNGGUAGAAGAGCGUUCUCUAGACACAGAAGCCAGAUCGAAAGAACUGGUGGAGCCUAGAGAAGUGACCCUGCCGGCAUAAGUAGCGAGAAGAGAGGUGAGAAUCCUCUCCGCCGUAAGCCUAAGGUUUCCUGAGGAAGGUUCGUCCGCUCAGGGUUAGUCGGGACCUAACGCGAGGCCGAAAGGCGUAGCGGAUGGAUGUCCGGUUAAUAUUCCGGAACUACCUAGAUCACGUUUGUACGAUGGGGGGACGCAGGAGGCUAUACGAGCCAGCUGUUGGACGUGCUGGUUGAGAGUGUAGGGGGAUUCGCCAGGCAAAUCCGGUGAGUCAUUCAACCCUGAGAGCUCGAAGCGAGCGCCGCAAGGCGCACAAAGUCGUAGACGCCACGCUGCCAAGAAAAUCCUCUAAGGAGUGGUCUGGGUACCCGUACCGCAAACCGACACAGGUAGGCGAGGAGAAAAUCCUCAGGCGCAAGUGAGAACCCUCGUUUAGGAACUCGGCAACUUGACCCCGUAACUUCGGAAGAAGGGGUGCUCGAUCUCGUGUAGGGAUUUACUCCCGAAGCGUGAUUGAGUUGCAAUAAAGAGGCCCAAGCAACUGUUUACUAAAAACACAGGACUCUGCAAAGUCGAAUACGACGUAUAGGGUCUGACGCCUGCCCGGUGCCGGAAGGUCAAAGGGAGAGGUUAGCCGCAAGGCGACGCUUUGAGCCCAAGCCCCGGUAAACGGCGGCCGUAACUAUAACGGUCCUAAGGUAGCGAAAUUCCUUGUCGGGUAAGUUCCGACCUGCACGAAUGGCGUAACGACUUGGGCACUGUCUCGACCACGCGCUCGGCGAAAUUGCAGUCUCGGUGAGGAUUCCGAGUCCCCGCGACAGGACAAAAAGACCCCAUGCACCUUUACUGUAGCUUGUCAUUGGACGUUGUCUCUAACUGUGUAGCAUAGGUGGGACCCGGUGAUCCCUGGGCGCUAGUUCAGGGGGAGGGGCCAGUGAAAUACCACCCUGGUAGAUACGACGUCCUCACCAGCCUGCGCACACCGCAGGUGGGACCGUGGCAGGUGGGCAGUUUGACUGGGGCGGUCGCCUCCGAAAGAGUAACGGAGGCGCGCGAAGGUUGGCUCAGCGCGGUCGGUACUCGCGCUUCUAGAGUGUAACGGCAGAAGCCAGCCUGACGGGGAGACCGACGGGUCGACCCGCCACGAAAGUGGGCCGUAGUGAUCCGGUAGCCCGGGGUGGAACGGCUAUCGCGCAACGGAUAAAAGGUACGCUGGGGAUAACAGGCUUAUCGCGCCCAAGAGCUCACAUCGACGGCGCGGUUUGGCACCUCGAUGUCGGCUUGUCACAUCCUGGGGCUGGAGAAGGUCCCAAGGGUCCGGCUGUUCGCCCGUUAAAGUGGCACAUGAGCUGGGUUCAGAACGUCGUGAGACAGUUCGGUCUGUAUCUGUUGUGGGCGUCGGAAAUUUGAGAGGAUCUGAUUCUAGUACGAGAGGACCGAAUCGGACAGACCUCUAGUGUACCUGUUGUGGCGCCAGCUGCAUCGCAGGGUAGCUACGUUUGGAAGAGAUAAGCGCUGAAAGCAUCUAAGCGCGAAGCUUACCUCAAGAUGAGAUUUCCUUUAAGGGCCGUUAUAGACUAUGACGUUGAUAGGCCACAGGUGUAAAGGCAGUAAUGUCAAAGCCGAGUGGUACUAAUUGCCCGUAAACUUUCUUUA
rnacentral:rRNA from 1 species